rnacentral:rRNA from 1 species
UACAGGGGGGCAAGGCGUUGUUCGGAAUUCUGGGCGUAAAGGGCCAGUAGGCGGCUAACUAAGUCCGACGUGAAAUCCCCAGGCUUAACCGGGGAACUGCGUCUGAUACUGGAUGGCUUGAGUUCGGGAGAGGGAUGCGGAAUUCCAGGUGUAGCGGUGAAAUGCGUAGAUAUCGGGAGGAACACCGGUGGCGAAGGCGGUUCUCUGGGCCUUACCUGACGCUGAGGCGCGAAAGCGUGGGGAGCAAACAGG